rnacentral:rRNA from 1 species
GACGAACGCUGGCGGCGUGCUUAACACAUGCAAGUCGAACGGAAAGGCCCUGCUUUUGUGGGGUGCUCGAGUGGCGAACGGGUGAGUAACACGUGAGUAACCUGCCCUUGACUUUGGGAUAACUUCAGGAAACUGGGGCUAAUACCGGAUAGGAGCUCCUGCUGCAUGGUGGGGGUUGGAAAGUUUCGGCGGUUGGGGAUGGACUCGCGGCUUAUCAGCUUGUUGGUGGGGUAGGGGCUUACCAAGGCUUUGACGGGUCGCCGGCCUGAGAGGGUGACCGGCCACAUUGGGACUGAGAUACGGCCCAGACUCCUACGGGAGGCAGCAGUGGGGAAUAUUGCACAAUGGGCGGAAGCCUGAGGCAGCAACGCCGCGUGCGGGAUGACGGCCUUCGGGUUGUAAACCGCUUUCGCCUGUGACGAAGCGUGAGUGACGGUAAUGGGUAAAGAAGCACCGGCUAACUACGUG